rnacentral:rRNA from 1 species
CAAGCAAAAUGAAUUUUAGUCUGAACCCCCGAAACUAAGUGAGCUACUUCAAAAUAGUCUUAAGAACAAACCCGUCUCUGUAGCAAAAGAGUGGGAUCAUUUUCAAGUAGAGGUGAUAAACCUACCGCACUUAGAGAUAGCUGGUUGCUCAAGAAAAGAAUAUUAGUUCUACCUUAAGUCUUUCAAUUACAUAAAAAAGUACAACUUAAGAGCUAUUCAAAUAAGGCACAGCUUAUUUGAAACAGGAUACAACCUAUAAUAUAGGGUAAUAUAUAAGAACCAGUGACAAGUGGGCCUAAGAGCAGCCAUCCAUUAAAAAGCGUUAAAGCUUAACACCUACCUAUUCUAAUACUUCACUACACCUCCAACCCAUUAUUAUUAUUGAGCAACUCCAUAAACCUAUGGAAGUUAUAAUGCUAGAACUAGUAACAAGAAAUAAAUUUUCUCCAAAAUGUAAGCCUAAGCCACAAUAGAUAACCUACUGGCAAUUAACGUAAAUGAUUAUAUUACAGUAACUCUAACGAGAAAAUCCUGUAACUCUUGACGUUAACCUAACACAAGAAUAUUAAUGGAAAGAUAAAAGAAAAAGAAG